ACCCAAGGAAGCAAUACCCUGAAGGCACCAGAUCCCAUUUGAUCUUGAAAGCUAAACAGGGGUGGCCCUGGUUAGUAUUUGGUUGGGAACUCACCAACAAAUAACAGGAGCUGUAGGCU
rnacentral:rRNA from 1 species